UUGAUUGCUCGCGCGUCGCUCCCGUUUCGUUGUUCACCCUUUAUUUGGCUCCUCGGUUGGGGCACCAACAGCACCUCGUGCUGUUUGCCGACUCGACUCGCUUGUGUCAUCGCUGUCCAAACACCGCGAUUGUUUGCCCCAGUCUUAAGGAAAACGCGCGGCAAGCGGGCCAAGUGCGCGGCCAAUUGCCUUUUGGCAGACGCCGAGAUCUGAUCUCCGAUCUGUUGCGAAACGUAGCGGCCAUUCCCCAUUCGCCAUCGCCAUAGCCAUUCGCUAUUCGCCAUUAAUCUCAAUAAUAUCAAUUGGAUAUCCACACACAUAUUCAGAUCACUUGGCUCCGAUCUCUGAGCCAUGCCCUCCACCUCCUCCCUCGGCGGUCGCCCCUCGGACGGAAGCCAUAGAAUCGCUGCUGUGGCAGCAUUCACUAUGUGUUCCCGCAACAUUAAGAUCUCGGUGGUGCUGUUUCUCGUCCUGAUACCAAUCUUCGCCGCCUUGCCACACAACCACAACCUGUCGAAGCGCAGCAACUUCUUCGACCUGGAGUGCAAGGGCAUCUUCAACAAGACCAUGUUCUUCCGACUGGACCGCAUCUGCGAGGACUGCUACCAGUUGUUCCGCGAGACGAGUAUACACCGAUUAUGCAAGAAAGACUGCUUUGAUUCAAAAUGGUUUGGCGAGUGCCUGAAAGUGCUGUUAAUACCCGAAGAGGAAAUAUCCAACCUCCAGCACUUUCUGAGAGUAGUGAACGGCUCGCCCAUAUCCUUCAACAUGGGGCCGCAAACAUAACUCUAAGUCCCGCCCACACACCCACACCCACACCCACACCACCCACCACACACCAUACAGCACACACCACACACAGUUGAGAAUCGCUGCGAACAUCGUGGGUUGGAACGGGCAUCCGAGUCCAGAUCCAGAUGCAGUCCCACUACGACCACAAAUGCAGAGCCAGAACACAGAAAUCUAAAAUAUUAAAACGCCCAAAUUUAAUUCGUACUUAUUUAUUACUGUAUGCCUUACAGUUUUUACUAUAUGUGUUUUUUUAAAAACGAAUUAUUUUUAUUAAUUUAUUGAGAACGUUAUGCGUUUGUUGUAAGUAACAUAAUCGGGGAGUGAGAGAUGGGCGAUGUUGAUGAUGAUGAUGAUAAUAAUGAUGAGGAUGAUAAUGAUGAUGAUAAGGUGGAGGAUCGCAGAUCUCGCACUCCCCAAAUAUACAUAGAAGCCGAAGUAUUUAUUUUUAAGUAUUCUUAGCUUGUUUUAUUAUUAUUGCGUUAUGCGGUUUGUAUAUAAAAUAAACAAAACGAAAUCCAUUGUUUUUAAUCUAUGUAAUGUAAAAUGAUAACUUUUAUUUUUGUAUCUGUAUUCUACUGUAAAAUCAGCAUUUAGAGUUUACAUUUUACACGAUUUUCCGCAAGGGCAAACUACAUUGAUAAAGAUAAACCCAUUACGAACACACACCCCCACACACACACACAUACACAUACGCAAUCGAGACCGAAAGUAUUUUGCAAAUGUAUUACACUUACAAUUUUGUGCUAUUUUGUAAAGAUGAAACCCUGAAUAGUGUAAAUCUGUUGGCGCAAAAACGAGAUAUUUGCCUAUAAAGUAUAUGCAUACCUAUCUAAAGCUAAAGCCCUACGUAUGUAUCCGAAUACGAAUACCCUACACACAUGCUUACUAUUAGAGAGAAAAGCAAGAUCGCAAUUUGUGCAAGACACAAACAAAAACCUGGUAAAAACACGCGAAGUACGACUGCAUUACAAAUGCGGCAAUAAAUAAUACAAAUAAACCCCUGUAAAUUAAUAAAGGAUAAUCAUUCGCUGGCUAUUUGAGAGCAUCAAAAUUGUGAUAAAUGAGAAUUUAGAAUGCGAAUGCGCGACGCAGAGCGACCAGAGACCCAGAGACACGAGAAAGUGAUCGCUAUAUCGCUAAAUAGGCGGCGGAGAAUGCCAGAGACACCGCCAGAGAAAGAGAACGCCAUGGAGGAGGCGACAGAGACAGACAGACUGCAGCUGGCGAUUUGCGCGCGUUUCUGGCGCGACUAAAAACGCCUGCUUACCGUUUUUGUUUUGGCAAGAAUGCUUCGGAUCGCCCUUCUUCAACGCCUGCAUAGAGGCUCUUCAGCUGCACGAGGAGAUGGACAAGUAUAACGAAUGGCGC
rnacentral:misc_RNA from 1 species